AGUGAACGCUGGCGGUAGGCCUAACACAUGCAAGUCGAACGGCAGCACAGUAAGAGCUUGCUCUUACGGGUGGCGAGUGGCGGACGGGUGAGGAAUACAUCGGAAUCUACUUUUUCGUGGGGGAUAACGUAGGGAAACUUACGCUAAUACCGCAUACGACCUACGGGUGAAAGCAGGGGAUCUUCGGACCUUGCGCGAUUGAAUGAGCCGAUGUCGGCUUAGCUAGUUGGCGGGGUAAAGGCCCACCAAGGCGACGAUCCGUAGCUGGACAUGGUGGAUGGUCAGCCACACUGGAACUGAGCCACGGUCCAGACUCCUACGGGAGGCAGCAGUGGGGAAUAUUGGACAAUGGGCGCAAGCCUGAUCCAGCCAUACCGCGUGGGUGAAGAAAGCCUUCGGGUUGUAAAGCCCUUUUGUUGGGAAAGAAAAGCAGCAGGUUAAUACCCCGCUGUUCUGACGGUACCCAAAGAAUAAGCACCGGCUAACUUCGUG
rnacentral:rRNA from 1 species